rnacentral:rRNA from 1 species
UACGUAGGGUGCGAGCGUUGUCCGGAAUUAUUGGGCGUAAAGGGCUCGUAGGCGGUUUGUCGCGUCGGGAGUGAAAACCCAGGGCUUAACUCUGGGCUGGCUUUCGAUACGGGCAGACUAGAGGUAUGCAGGGGAGAACGGAAUUCCUGGUGUAGCGGUGAAAUGCGCAGAUAUCAGGAGGAACACCGGUGGCGAAGGCAGCUCGCUGGGACGUGACUGACGCUGAGACGCGAAAGCGUGGGGAGCAAACAGG